AGUUAUCGUUUAUUUGAUAGUACCUUGCUACUUGGAUACCUGUGGUAAUUCUAGAGCUAAUACAUGCUAAAAACCUCGACUUCGGGAGGGGUGUAUUUAUUAGAUAAAAAACCAAUGCCCUCCGGGGCUCCUUGGUGAUUCAUAAUAACUCAACGAAUCGCAUGGCCUUGCGCCGGCGAUGGUUCAUUCAAAUUUCUGCCCUAUCAACUUUCGAUGGUAGGAUAGUGGCCUACCAUGGUUUCUACGGGUAACGGGGAAUUAGGGUUCGAUUCCGGAGAGGGAGCCUGAGAAACGGCUACCACAUCCAAGGAAGGCAGCAGGCGCGCAAAUUACCCAAUCCCGACACGGGGAGGUAGUGACAAUAAAUACUGAUACAGGGCUCUUUCGGGUCUUGUAAUUGGAAUGAGUACAAUUUAAAUCCCUUAACGAGGAACAAUUGGAGGGCAAGUCUGGUGCCAGCAGCCGCGGUAAUUCCAGCUCCAAUAGCGUAUAUUAAAGUUGUUGCAGUUAAAAAGCUCGUAGUUGAAACUUGGGCCUGGCUGGCCGGUCCGCCUCACCGCGUGCACUGGUCCGGCCGGGCCUUUCCUUCUGGGGAGCCGCAUGCCCUUUAUUGGGUGUGUCGGGGAACCAGGACUUUUACUUUGAAAAAAUUAGAGUGUUCAAAGCAGGCCUAUGCUCGGAUACAUUAGCAUGUAUUAAUGGAAUAGGACGUGUGGUUCUAUUUUGUUGGUUUCUAGGACCGCCGUAU
rnacentral:rRNA from 1 species